rnacentral:piRNA from 1 species
UGGGCUGUAGCAAAUAUGUCACAUGGGAAUC